UGAGCGUUUUGACGUCCAUGUUUUCUAUCCUUCAUUCCACCGGAGUCUGUGUCGAGUGAAAAUCAGAUUUCAGUGGAUUGAAGAGUAAAACACAUGGAACUGA
rnacentral:miRNA from 1 species